rnacentral:rRNA from 1 species
UACGAAGGGGGCUAGCGUUGUUCGGAAUCACUGGGCGUAAAGCGCACGUAGGCGGAUCUUUAAGUCAGGGGUGAAAUCCUGGAGCUCAACUCCAGAACUGCCUUUGAUACUGGGGAUCUCGAGUUCGGGAGAGGUGAGUGGAACUGCGAGUGUAGAGGUGAAAUUCGUAGAUAUUCGCAAGAACACCAGUGGCGAAGGCGGCUCACUGGCCCGAUACUGACGCUGAGGCACGAAAGCGUGGGGAGCAAACAGG